UUAAAUCUGGUUUGUUUUUAUUUAUUUACAUUUAAUUGCAUUUAAUUUAAAACACAUUUAAAAGUUUUUCUUUAAUAUUUGUAUCAUAUUUGUAUCUUUGAUUUAAUAUUUGUAGUAAUCCUGUGUUCUGUGUUUCUUUCUAAAUCAACAUUUUGUUCUGUAUGGUUCUGUAUUUGUAAAUUUGAGUUAAAAUUGAGUAUAGAUCUAAUAAUUUUAGUGUUCAUUUUUUUCAUUUUUUUACGCCUCAAUUGUGUUUUUCUUCAAUGACUAUUAUUACUAACCAUCAUGAUUUAGAUAAAUUAAAAAAAUGUUAAUAACUCUACAUGAAAGUUAUUGGUUACCAAGUUAUCAAUCCUACACAUGAGGAAUUCAAAAUGUAUCCUGUUCAAAAGAAUCCUACAAAAGGAUCUUCAUCAGAACAAUUAUCUUUGGAAAAUUAUGGUAUUGAUAAUUCAUUAGAAAGUAUCAAUGAAAGUAUUAUCAAUGAUCCCAUUAAAAGACAAAAUAAUUUGGAUACUUUCUAUCCCUGUGAAAAGAGAUUAAAAUUGGAUAGAAUCAAAUCUCCCUCUAGUCAAAAUAGUAAUAUGUCCAGUGCUGAUAUUUUUGAAGAUACAUUAGAAAAUUUAAACAUAUCUGAUAUUUAUAAAAGUAAUACUACAGAUUCCAAUGUCCGAUAUAGUAACAGAACCAGUGAUUCAUUAAGCCAUCAGCAGACUAUAUUUCAAGAUGGAUUUUCUCAAGCAUUUAAUACACAAGUCAUAAAUCAUAUAGACACAGUUAUAAGCAUUGAAGAGGAGAAUAUUAACCAAAAGUUAGAUAUGAAAACAAACAAUAACAAACCUAAUCAGGUAGAUAAUUCUAAGCAAAAAACUUUAUUAGAAAGUUUACCAAAUCAAAUUCAUAACAGAUCAUUAUUAUUUAGUAAUAAAAAAGUAACAUUAGGCUACAAAAAAGAAGUUGAUGAUAUUUUUGAACAAAUAGAACAUUACAUUAGUACAUAUGGUACUAAUACAGGUGGUGAACAUACAAUUCCUGACAAAAUUUUAGAUGAUUUUUUUUCAAGUAAUCUAAAUACAACAUUAGAUAUAAAUAUUAAUGGACCACAGUUUUUUGAAAAGCAAAUACAUGAAAAGCUUCAUGGCAGUUUGAUGGCUAGUAGUUCAAGAGAUGACAGUUUACUUAAUAUUGCGGAAUCUAGCUUUGGAACUGCCCUCAAACAAACUUUGCUGAAAAAUGUUAGUAAAAAUAUGCAGUCAAACAGGGAGAAGACUCUAGAUCUAUCUUUAAGUCAUAGUUUUUCUGAACCACCUUCAAAAUUUUACAAAUUAGGGGAUUUUUAUGACCUACCAGAUAAAGUAGCAAAUUUAAUAAAGCAAUAUAAAGGAAUUGAUAAAUUAUAUGAUUGGCAGAAUGAAUGUUUAAAUUUAGCAAUUCAAAAUAGAAACAACUUGAUAUAUACACUACCUACUAGUGGUGGUAAAACCUUAGUAGCCGAAAUUCUUAUGCUAAGAGAAUUAUUAUGUUUCCAACAAAAUGCUAUUUUUAUUUUGCCAUAUAUAGCAAUUGUUCAAGAAAAGGUGUGGGACUUCUCUCCGUUUGGCGUUGCAUUGGAUUUUUUAGUAGAGGAAUAUGCAUCCAGUAAAGGUGUAUAUCCACCGCGAAAACGAAGAAGGAAACAUUCUGUAUAUAUAGCUACAAUUGAAAAGGCUUUAGGAUUAGUUAACAGUCUUAUAGAAACAAACAGACUGAAUGAAAUAGGACUUGUAGUCAUUGAUGAAUUACAUUUAAUAGGAGAUCAAGGCAGAGGAGCAGUUUUAGAAACUCUUCUAACAAAAUUAAUGUUUUUAAACGCAAACAUUCAAAUCAUUGGUAUGAGCGCCACUAUCGGAAAUAUUAAAGAUAUUUGUGAUUUUUUAAAAGCGAAAGUAUACGCUAAAGAUUUUAGGCCCGUUGAUCUUAUGGAAUAUGUUAAAUGUGGAACGGAAAUGGCUAAAAUCAACUGGAAUUGUAAAAACGAGGAAGAUCUCUUCACCAAUAUAAAGAAUGUUGAUUAUAAUUAUUCAGAGUCGUUCAAACAGCUGGAUCCUGAUAUGCUAUGUGGUUUAGCUUUAGAAAUUAUUCCAAAGGAUUCUUGUCUGAUAUUUUGCGCUUCAAAAAAGAACUGCGAGAAUGUGGUUAAUCUUUUAUGUAAAUUAGCUAGACCAGACUUAAAAAAUCACAGAAAAGUGGAAAAAGAUCAACUUUUACAAGCCUUGAAAUCAGAAGCCGGCGAACUUUGUGAUAUAUUAAAACUGUCUGUUCCAUUUGGUUUUGCUUAUCAUCAUUCCGGGUUGACCGGUGAUGAGAGAAGACUCUUAGAAGACGCGUUUAGAUCUGGAACGAUAUGUGUCAUUUGUUGUACUUCUACGUUAGCAGCAGGUGUCAAUUUACCAGCGAGAAGGGUAAUUAUUAGAUCCCCUUAUGUAGGCAGGGAAUUUAUUACUCUGUCAAAGUACAAACAAAUGGCAGGCAGAGCUGGUCGAGCGGGGUUGGGAGAAACAGGCGAAAGCAUUAUAAUAGCACAAACAUCUGAUAUGCCAAAGGUCAAAAAACUUCUGUUGAGUCCAAUGAAUCAAGCAAUAUCAAGCUUACAUGAAUUAGAUGGCAGGGGUUUAAGGCAUUUGCUCUUGAGUUGCAUAAGUUUGGGAAUAGCAAACACAAGAUCACAAUUACAAAAUGUAUCCAACUCCACUCUGAUGGCCGUACAGAUCGAAAAAUUAAACGUCAACAUUAAAAAACUAACCGAUAACGUUAUAAAAAGUCUAUUUAAAUUAGGCGCUUUAGAGGAAAGUUGUUCAAAAGGAAAAGAAACAGAUCUAGGGCUUAACAUCUCCGUCAAACUGGAUACGUCAUCGGUUGGAUUAAGCAGUAGUCCCUUUAACACACCCUUAACAGAUGUUGCCAGCAAUCCUACUAAACCUAAAAGAUCUGUUGUCUUAACCAGCAAUACAAAAUUGGUCGUCAGCAAUUUGGGUUGUGCAGCAAUAAAAGGUGGUUUAGAACUAUCUAGGGCUCACCAGCUUUAUGAUGAUCUUUAUAAGGCCCAAAAGAGUUUGGUUUUAUUGAAUUGUUUACAUUUACUAUACCUGGUAACACCAUAUGAGACUUCAGACCAAGUGAGACCUAAUAUACAAAUUUAUCAUGAAGUGCUUACACAGUUAGAUGAAAAAGAACAGCAAACUUCUAGAAUAUUGGGAUUUGAUGAAGGUGUUAUAUUAAAAAUGACAACUGGACAGGUGCCAAAGAUUUAUAUACUUUGCUUAAAAUCAGUUAUAAAAUAAACAAAAAUACAAAUUUACACAAAAAGCGCAACAAACUCAAAAGUCAUUUUUUGGUAUUAUAAUUCGAAAAGAUAAACAACAAAUACCAGAAAGAGUCCUCAAUAGGUUUUAUGUGACGCUUAUUCUUUAUGAUUUAUGGAAAGAAUCCCCCGUUUUCAAAGUGUCUAACAAAUUUCAA
rnacentral:misc_RNA from 1 species